UUUGUAAUAUUUAUUUAUGUUUUGUAAUAUUUUUAAUGAGGGUUACAUUUGUAUUGAUUAUUAGGGUUGGUUACAUGGUUACUUGUGUGUGAGAGAUAGAGAGAGAGAGUAUAAGGUUGGUAAAUGUGGUUAAAAGUGUAAAAAAAAAAAAAAAAAAAAAAAAAAAAUUGGUUACAACAGGUUGGGUUUCCUUUUUUUUUGGUGUGUCAUAUUUUUCAUGGUUACGGUUACAUUGGAUAUGGAUAUGGUGAUAAUGAGGAUAUCAUGAUGGAAUGGUGGUUACUUUAACACGGAUGAAAAAGUACAUAAUAUAUAGUAGUGUAGUAACAUAAAAACAGAAAGUUGUUUCCAAAUGUGGAAAAUGGACAAAAUUAUCACGAGGUUAAUUUAUUUUUAAAAAUAGUAUAAAGUUUGAUGGAUGGAUUGAGAGUAACAAUAUGUAUUUUGUGAGGAAAUAACGGGUGGAAAAGGGAUCCAAUGUUGUUAUGUUUUUACUUUUGAAAUCUGUAACUGUAAUGGUUUUUCUUUAUUAUUUAUUUAUUGUUGUUUUUAUUUGUAUUCUUAAUGAACCCACCUUUUAUUUAUUAUUUUUAUUUUUAUUUUUAUUUUUUUCAAACAACAAAAGAAACAUCGAAAAUGGCUGGUAUAGAACCCCAAAAUAUCACCAAACAUGACGUAGAAGAAUGUUCAAUUUCUUGACCAAAUAUGUGGAAAAUUUUGGUGCGGUUACAUAUGCACAAUAUCCAACAUUUUCAAAAGAAACAAAAAAAAAUUUUUUUCAUCAAACCACAUUUAGGUCAGGUAUGCGUGGCUGGAUCUGGCAAAAAGUAACGAUGUUACUUGUCUAAGACUGAUGAAGCGGGUGUAAAGAUGAGUCUGGUGGUGAAAUGGAGAAGGCUGGAAUGCAAAAACAGUCAUUCGAAAGGAAAAUUUUCAUCUUUACGAAAUUCGAUAGGUCCUUUAUCACGUGUUGAACACAUCAUGAGGCUCAAGUGUUUGGUUUUGUUCUGUGAAUUUACAAGAAUGAAAAAGAUCGACAGGCAAAUGGGUCAAAAGUUGAAAAGUGAAAGAGGGAGUAGAGGUAGUUGUAUGGAGGAAGAAAAUAGAUAAUUUAGAGGAAAUAGAUGAGAUGCAUUUCUUUUACAAUUUUGAGUAAUAAACAUCCAUGUAGCUGAAGCCAGAGUGCAAAAAAAAUGCAUUUAGAGUGUGUUUUCCUUGGGGAAGGGUGGGGCAUGUUAUGGGAAGGUGGAGAGAAAAAAUGAAAAAAACAAGGUAAUUUGUAGGAUUUUU